rnacentral:rRNA from 1 species
GACUGAGGGGGCAAGCGUUGUCCGGAUUUACUGGGCGUACAGCGCGCGCAGGCGGGGCGUUAAGUCAGCGGUGACAGCGCGCGGCUCAACCGCGCAGGGGCCGCUGUGACUGACGGCCUAGAGGCGAUGAGAGGGACAUGGAAUGCCCGGUGGAGCGGUGAAAUGCGUAGAGAUCGGGCGGAACACCAGAGGGGAAGCCGGUGUCCUGGCAUCGACCUGACGCUGAGGCGCGAGAGCGUGGGGAGCAAACGGG